CCAGGGUGGUCUCGAACUCCUGGGCUCAAGCUCUCUGUCUGCCUCUACCUCCCAAAGUGUUGGGAUUACAGGCAUGGGCCACUGCACCCAGCCAACUUAUGUUUCGUUGAACAGUCAUUUGAGUAUAAAAUAUAGGUUAUUUAUCAAAAAAGUGAUAUAAAUGUUUUUAUGUGCCACUUCCUUGAAAACUAGUUAGGAUUGACAGCUUUGCUCUUUGUAAAAUUCAAAUCUAAAUUAGUGUUCUAUACUAAAUGAUUCUUUUCUUACAUGGAAAAUUUUUGCAGAAAGGUAAAAAUAAAGUUUGCAAGAACUUUGACACUAGUAGAUUAAUACUUAGAAUAGAUAUGGUAAUCUUUUAGAAAGGUUAUGUAUAAAUGUCCAUCUGUUUUACUCUCUUUAAAAAAAGUCAGUCUAGGAAGGGAAGUUUUCAGCUAUGUAUGUAUGUUUGUACAUUGAGUGUGUAUUUUUUUUUUUUUUUUUUUUUUUUUCCCCUUAUUGUGCCACCUCCUGGAAGAAUGAAGUUAUGCAUUCUUGUAAUUCAUGUGGCUUUUCAUGUACCACUUCCUUGAACUCUAGUUAGGAGUGACGACUUACUGUCUUUGUAAGAUUUUGAUCUACAUUAUUGACCUAGUCUUUUUGUCAGGGCUGUUUUGAGCAAGCUUUACUGCUUCAAACAUUCAUAUCACACAAAGUUGUUUUUAAUGUGUUUUGACUUGGCUCACUUUGUUAGUGACGGAAUCUACCCUUGAUUUGACUUUGACUCAUACUUUCUACUCACCUGUAAUGAUGAAUAUAAAAUCAAAUCAGGUAUGGCUGUGGUCAGUAUUAUUCAAAUUGAGUUAGAUUUAUUUAAUUUUGUCUGAUUUCUUUGGUUAAAGUUUCAAUCUGCUACCUAUUAGCUAGUAUCAGAAAGUAUGUGUUAAGUAGCCUCUCUAUAGGUGAUUUAAAAGAUUUAAAUAUUGAUUUAAAUGUUAGUUUUCUACCUAAUCAGUCAAUACAGACAUAAUAGAGUAGCAAAGGAUAUCUCUGUUUUUCCUUUUCAGCUUAUGUUUAAAAAUAGAACCCAGACUUUAUGUUUUGUCAUAUAUCUGUGAUGUAUAUAAUAUAUAAAUACUUUCUUAUUUCAAGAAUUUUGUUAGUAUCUUUGUUUCAUUUUUUUAAGGUAUACUUUCUACAGCAUUGACAACUACUGUUUCUUCUCAUCACUUAUUUUCUCUUAAAUUUUCAACUUUCAUUUUGGUAAAACACUUGAUUGCAGAACUCAGCUAGUUUUUAAACACAUUAAUGAGUAUUAACUGUUAAAGAAUUUGUCUCUUUUCAUCCAGUUUUAUGAAUGAGACAUGGAAUCUUUGGGGAUUGACAAAAUGAUCUGCCUUCCAUUUACAAGGGUAAAAGUAGAAACUGUACAUUGUCAUCCAUGUGAAUCAGGUCUCCUGUUCAUUGUGGGGUGAUUUCAAGUUGUAAAAAUCUUUGCUAGUUACUGAGUUGCUGUGAUGUUAGACUGGAAAUACCAUUUUAAUUCUUACCACAUUUUGUCUGAGGUAGCAAUUGAUCCCUAAUUUCCAUUUUAUUAACAAGGUACUCUAAUGCUACUUUAUUGUUCAAAUUAACUAAUGGGUUUUCCAUUAAGAAUGAGGGGGUUUAUAGGCCAUGUGUUUUUAGUCGGUGAAAUUGUUUAACAUCCUGUUAUUAGUUUUCUGAUUUAUUUUAGAAGUUCUUUAAGUUAGUCUUAACACAUAGCCAUUCUUUCAGCAUUAAGAGAUGUUUAUCUAGUGCCUUGGGAACUUUGGAGCAUUUGAAGAAUAAGGUCAUUUUUAUUUUUGAAGCACAGUAAACAUGGGGAAGACAAUUUAGGCUUCCUGAGUCUUGCUGUGUUCUUUUUUUUGUGAAUAGUAAGCUGUGACUAUUAAUGGUUUCAUAGACUUACAAUUUGGAAAAUUUGGUAAUCAAGAAAGAUUGUGAAACUUUAAGAUCUUUAAGAUCUUAUCUUGUGGGUUGUGGCAUUUGACAUUGUCAGGUUAAGAAUAGUCAGACUAACAGGAUAUCAAGGUACUAUGAAUGAACAUUAAAUUAAUAAUACUUUUCUGCCAAAUUUAUUCCUCAUUUCAGCACUUCUUGAAAUUUUAAAAAAUCGUUCAGUAAGCUCAAGAUUGUAUAUUUUGAAAUAUGACUUAACAUGCUUAUAAAUCAUGUAUGAUUGUCGUAUCAUUGUUACUAUAUAUAGAAUAUAAUUCUUCGGUAAGGAUCACUCAAUAAUAAUGAAUGUGAAGCAGUAUUUUCACAGUACCAAGAAACCUGCUAAUAUUUUCAGUAGUAAUUGACUCAUUGUUCAGUAACAAUUGGUAUGUAUGGUGUAUCUUAUUUAAUGUAUUUGAUUAUUUAUGAAUAUAGAAAGCAUCAUAGAUACAGUAUGCAGUGGUUUAUUUUUAAUUUUAAAAUUUAUUUGAAUCCUUUUUAUUGGUGGCUGCUACCAUAGUUAGAAAUUAAAGUUAUUUUCAUAGUAUUCUUUUUGUGAUUGAAGAAUGAAUUUUCUGAAUAGAUCUUCAAAGAGAAACUUCCUAGGUAAACUCACCUCAGGGUUGGGAUUUAGUUUUAGUAUAUGUAUGAUUGAAGAAAUAAAAGGUAAGAAAAGAGAGAAAAGUAAAGAAAAGUCCAGUGUAGCUUACUACUUAUUUUUUUUCUCAUUCUUCUAAUUAUUUGCUUUGUUCCUUUAUUUAAAACUCUGGCUUUUCAGUAUCUUUAUUGUCAUUUUUACACAUAUCCAUUUUUUUCUUUGGUGUUAUUUCUGUACCACUGAAAAUUUGCCUUUCAUUUUUUACACAUUGUCAGUAUUUGAAAAUAGGGUUGCUGUUGGUUUAGACUCAGUGCUCAUCUGCAUGAUCAGCCUGUGUCAUUUCUUGCCUUAGGCCUUACCUCCUUUCAGUGUAUUGACUUUCUAGGUUAUAUCUUUUCUCAUUUAGAGGCCAAUUAUUCUUUUUUCUUUCUGUUGCUAGCAGUUUUAUAUCACCACCUGUUCUUUCCAUUUCAGAAGUUCAUUUUCUGAUAUAAAGCUAAAUAGCUGUGCUGACAUAAGUUCUUUUCAUCUUCUACAGCAGGUUCAAUGUUUUGCUCAUAAAGAGAAACUAUAGUUUCAACUUGGGUCAUGAUUAGAAUUUUCAGUGAAGGUAUCUGUCAGUAUUUAUGGCAGCUGGGUGCUUCUUGCCCUUCUUUAAGCAGUUCGGGGACCCCAAAUCUGUCAACAGUUGUGAGUAUGGAAGAGCCCUCAUUAUGGGUGAAAGGGGUGCUUACUUUAACUUCAAAGGAGGGUAUAAUUUCUCUUAAAAAGGGAAACAUUGUACUUACCCGCCUACCUAGUGCAUAGUACAGGUUGAGUGAGUGAACUAGGUUUUUGUUGAUUGUAGUAGUGGUGGUUUUGUUUGUUUUAUUGUUGUUUUUCUGCUUUUUGGUUGAAUGUGUAAAUGAAGGCCUGAGGUGAUUGAAUUAUUUGCAAAUUCAGUUAGUAAAA